rnacentral:rRNA from 1 species
AUUGAACGCUGGCGGCAUGCUUUACACAUGCAAGUCGAACGGUAACAGGCCGCAAGGUGCUGACGAGUGGCGAACGGGUGAGUAAUGCAUCGGAACGUGCCCAGUCGUGGGGGAUAACGCAGCGAAAGCUGCGCUAAUACCGCAUACGAUCUCUGGAUGAAAGCGGGGGACCGAAAGGCCUCGCGCGAUUGGAGCGGCCGAUGUCAGAUUAGGUAGUUGGUGGGGUAAAGGCCCACCAAGCCAACGAUCUGUAGCUGGUCUGAGAGGACGACCAGCCACACUGGGACGGAGACACGGCCCAGACUCCUACGGGAGGCAGCAGUGGGGAAUUUUGGACAAUGGGCGCAAGCCUGAUCCAGCAAUGCCGCGUGCAGGAAGAAGGCCUUCGGGUUGUAAACUGCUUUUGUACGGAACGAAACGGUCCGGGUUAAUACCCUGGGCUGAUGACGGUACCGUAAGAAUAAGCACCGGCUAACUACGUGCCAGCAGCCGCCGUAACAC